CUCUUUGAUGAGAAUAUUCCUUCAGUUAAUGAUUUGUGCAAUAUGAUGAUAUUGUCAAUGUCAUUGUAAUUUCAAUUUCUCUAUUUUAUCUGAUAUAUUCUCUUUUUGUUAAUGUAGAGACUGUAGGGUCAACUUUUUUUUUUUAUUCAAUUGUUGUGUGUAGUUUUUGCUAGAAUCCAGAUUCAGAUUUAAAAGCAGGAUGAACUUUGAUUUGUGACUAUAAUAUUAACAAUGGGUCUUUCUUCCUCAGCAAAAUCAAUUAAGCACAAUUUGCUUUGGAUAGAGACUGGGUUAGUACGUGGAUCUGGCUUGUGCCCAAAUCCAAUUACCCUCUUGCAACACACUAGACAAAAGAGGGACUCCAAGAUAGAUAACUGGCAGCUUCCCUUCUUUAAACUGAAGGAACUCUGGGAUUUAGUGAUUUAAAUGUGCUGGAACAGCCAAAAGAAAAUUUUCACUCUUUGUAGGAUUUGCACUAAGGCCUGAAAUUCUUUUGAAAGUCCCAAGAGUAUCUUGAAAAUAGUGAGAGAAUGGAUGUUAGCACUUGAAAACAGCAUCAAGUCAUCUGCAAAACAGAGGGGAGUGAGUUUUAGAGCUUCACAUUUAGGAUGGAAUCUAAAUGCAGAGGAUCUUGAGAUAGCUAACUAUAACAUUCUCGAAAAGACUUCCAUUACCAAUACAAAUAAGUAAGGAGAGGUCUAAGCCCUCUCCUCCCUUUGAAGUAUCCCACAAGGCCGCAAUUGAAAAGAUUAGUUCAACACCAGCCAACACAGUACCCUGCAUCAGAGGAGAUGAGUAUUGGGAAAAUCAAGUUUAAGGCUUUUGAUUUGGGAGGACAUCAAAUAGCUCGUAGAGUGUGGAAAGACUACUACACCAAGGUGUAGGCACACCCUAGCUUGAAUGAAGAAGAAAAAUUAAGCGUAUGUAGAAACCUGUAAUACCAUAGAGCAAAGUCACAUGAUUCAUCUUGUUAGAGCAAAGUCACUUGCCCUUUAAAGUAACAGCAUGAUUCAUCUUCUUAGAGCAAAGGCACAUGACAAGGUCAAUGACAGCUUUUGGAUCAAAUCACCAAAGAAUGAAGACUCAGGUAAUUAUCAGAGUUUCUAAACUAAAAGAGGGAGGUAUGAAUCUGCAGAAAGAGGUCGACACAAUGUUGGUGCAACUGAUUGAAUUAUAAAUGUGUCAACUAAAGCUGCAAAGACAAGUAAAGAGAUCCACAAAUUAGAAGAGAAAACUCAACUUUGUAAGGAAAAAAAUUUCUGGUUGGAAAUCUGAUUUUUCUUUGUUGAUUUUUUUU